rnacentral:rRNA from 1 species
ACUCCUACGGGAGGCAGCAGUGGGGAAUAUUGCACAAUGGGCGCAAGCCUGAUGCAGCCAUGCCGCGUGUGUGAAGAAGGCCUUCGGGUUGUAAAGCACUUUCAGUCGUGAGGAAGGUAGUGUAGUUAAUAGCUGCAUUAUUUGACGUUAGCGACAGAAGAAGCACCGGCUAACUCCGUGCCAGCAGCCGCGGUAAUACGGAGGGUGCGAGCGUUAAUCGGAAUUACUGGGCGUAAAGCGCAUGCAGGUGGUUGUUAAGUCAGAUGUGAAAGCCCGGGGCGUCAACCUCGGAAUAGCAUUUGAAACUGGCAGACUAGAGUACUGUAGAGGGGGUAGAAUUUCAGGUGUAGCGUGAAAUGCGUAGAGAUCUGAAGGAUACCGGUGGCGAAGCGGCCCCUGGACAGAUACUGACACUCAGAUGCGAAAGCGUGGGAGCAAACAGGAUUAGAUACCCCUGGUAGACUGUCA